CAUCCCCUUGUUUAUUAUCCUUUAUCUUGAGCCGGGGGUCUAUCGGAAACAACCUCUCUACUUCUUCGGAGGCAGCGGUAUGGACUGCGCACAUCUUACCCUCCCCAGAUCCCACGCUGUGAGAAUACACUGGGUUUGUUGUUGUUGUUGUUGAAGAUAUCCUCAUUCUUAUGAUGUAUUCACUACUAAGCAUCUGCAUAUAGUUAAAUUUAAAAAAAAAAAAAGAAACCAUACAAUGAAUUAAACUAUGUUACCAACAGGAACAACCAUUUAAACAAAAUACCAUCUCUCAUAUAAAGGAUAUACACCUGUGGAUAUAAAAUUUUAACCCUAAGACACAAUACAAAUUGAAUUUUCUCUUUUAAAUUUGUAAAUUCAAAUUGUUAUCAUCAAAAGAAUUGGAGAUGCAGUACCACCAACACCGAACUUAAAGAUAUUGUUGGUUAAUGUCACAAUUCGAUUUACAAGUUAUGAUGACACCUACUUUUUUUGCCAGUAGGUAAGUUGAAUCAUAGCCCGAAGCCAGAUGCAAUGGGCUAACUCGGUGAAAAAUGGUCAAAGCCAAAAAUUUAUAAUUAAAGACUUAAGUAGUAAUAAAACAGUCAUUAUAGUCUAAUAGAUCGAUAUAAAAUCAACAACCAUCCCAAGAUUCAGUAACAUCGGUACAAGAGCUACUACAAGAGACAAUGAGUACUAAAUAACUAAAUAAAAUUUGUCUCGAAAAUGAAAGACUAGACAUAGAUAAAUAGAAGGAAAAAUGGAUAACUCCAUCUCCAAGAGCUCACCUGAUCUUCGAAAAUCAACCCCGCACAGACAUCGAAUUAAAGACGGCAGAGAGUACUCAGAUCUACACCAAAACGAUACAAAAGUUUAGUAUGAGUACCAAAAUUACGGAUACUCAGUAGGCAUCAUCGGCGGACUGAGCUAAACAUGAUAUAAACACGAUAAUAUACAAGGUAUCAAUACGCUAAGUCAAGGUAAAAUGGGCAAAUCUAGAAAUAAGCUCUGAUUUGCUGUAUAUAAAUAAAUAAAUAUGAAAUAGCAAUAUAAAGAUCACCCAAUUAUAACUACAAGAUUGACCCCCAUAAGCCAAUAAGUGCGGAAAAGUAAAUAACCCAACCCAGGCCUCCAUAACCUUGAAAGGUACAAUCAAGGGAACUGAGUAACCUAAUAAUCAUAAGUUACCAAUUAUCAUUCCAUAACUAAGAAUCGAUCCAAACCAUAUAAUAUCAUACAAAAUCACCAAUAUCGUACUUGAAUCAAAACUCAAUAAUAUAUCAUCAUGAUCAUUAUUAGUCGGACUUGAAUCAAACUCAUAUUAUCAAUAUCAUCAUCAAUUGUCAAAGUCAAACCAGAAUUCAUAUUUAUAAGCCGUAUCAAUGGACCAUCUCAACAAGACAUAUCGAUAAACUAACUCAAUAGACUAUGCUAAUGAACUAUAACUAUAGACCAUCCCUUUUACUCAUAUCUAUACACCGAAAUAAAAAUCACAAUCAUAAGUUAUAUCGGUACCCACAUCCAUGUACCUUACCAAUACCGUGUCUAUCUAUUCAUGCCAAUAACUAUGCCCAUAAGCCAAGUCAAUAGUCAUAUUCAUAAGUUAUAUCAAUAAUCCCAUCUUUAGGUCAUUUCAUAUCCAUAAG
rnacentral:lncRNA from 1 species